rnacentral:tRNA from 1 species
GGGUGGGUUAGCACAGUGGGUAGAGCUUAGACUUGUGACCGAAAGGUCCCGGGUUCAAAUCGCGCCAGAGCCA